GCCAGGGCGCACACGCUCCUGCCCCCCCACCGGCCCGGGCUGGAGUUUGCACCUCUCCCUGCCCGGGUGCUCGGGCCGCCGCUGCAAAGACAACUUUGGAAAAAGUUUUUUGGGGGAGAUUUGGGCUUUGAGGUGCCCAGCCCUGAGCUUUUUGGUUUGGGAGACCUCUCCAGAGAAUGUUGCAAAAAAGCUAAGCCAGCGGGCAGAGGGAAACGCCUUCAGCCGGCGAGUGAAGACGAACCAUCGCCCGCCUGCCUGCCGUGUUCCUUUUCCUCUCCGAGGUUGGAGUCCCCUGCGCGCCCCCACACGGCUACACGCCUCUGCUGGUUCGCGACGCAGCCCCCUGGCCGUGGAUGCUCGAGCGGGCUCGGGAUCCGCCCAGGUAGCGGUCUCGGACCCUGGUCCUCCCCAACCCCCCAGCGACGGAGCCGGGGC
rnacentral:other from 1 species